CACGUAGGAGGCAAACGUUAUCCGGAUUUACUGGGCGUAAAGCGCGUGUAGGUGGUUCUGUAAGUAGGGCGUGAAAGCUCCCGGCUCAACUGGGAGAGGCCGUUCUAAACUGCAGAGCUAGAGGAUGGUAGAGGGAGGUGGAAUUCCGGGUGUAGCGGUGGAAUGCGCAGAUAUCCGGAGGAACACCAGUGGCGAAGGCGACCUCCUGGGCCACUCCUGACACUCAGACGCGAAAGCUAGGGUAGCAAACGGGGAUUAGAUACCCGGGUAGUCCCUGAG
rnacentral:rRNA from 1 species